AUUGUAGUCUAAGAUUCCAAUUAAGAUAGAUCAAUCGAAUUGAAAGAGAAAUAAUGGGUUCAGAAACAUUCGUUGAAAUCUUACUCGCAAUUCUCCUUCCUCCAGUUGGUGUCUUCCUUCGCUAUGGCUGUGGAGUGGAGUUCUGGAUUGCUUUGCUGCUAACCAUUCUGGGAUACAUACCCGGCAUUAUAUACGCUAUUUAUGUCUUGGUUGUCUAGCUUAAUUAGCUACUUACACUUUGAUGAUGAAUGAAUUCUUGUAAUUAAUCAUCAUAUGGAUUCUUGUUCUCAUUAAUCUUAAUAAUAAUGAUCGAAAUUAGAU